rnacentral:rRNA from 1 species
GAUGAACGCUGGCGGCGUGCCUAAUACAUGCAAGUCGAGCGAACAGACGAGGAGCUUGCUCCUCUGACGUUAGCGGCGGACGGGUGAGUAACACGUGGAUAACCUACCUAUAAGACUGGGAUAACUUCGGGAAACCGGAGCUAAUACCGGAUAAUAUAUUGAACCGCAUGGUUCAAUAGUGAAAGACGGUUUUGCUGUCACUUAUCGAUGGAUCCGCGCCGCAUUAGCUAGUUGGUAAGGUAACGGCUUACCAAGGCGACGAUGCGUAGCCGACCUGAGAGGGUGAUCGUCCACACUGGAACUGAGACACGGUCCAGACUCCUACGGGAGGCAGCAGUAGGGAAUCUUCCGCAAUGGGCGAAAGCCUGACGGAGCAACGCCGCGUGAGUGAUGAAGGUCUUCGGAUCGUAAAACUCUGUUAUUAGGGAAGAACAAAUGUGUAAGUAACUAUGCACGUCUUGACGGUACCUAAUCAGAAAGCCACGGCUAACUACGUG